rnacentral:lncRNA from 1 species
AGCACGCGUGGAGCGGUGGCGCUGCCAACCGCGCAGGAGCCUUGUGACAAGAUUGAGGGAUUCAGAGAGACCAGAGACUCCGGAGUGUCGCUCCUCUCUAGACCCCUGUCGACACCCUAGGGAUAUCUCUUAUAAGGAUCCACGCCUCAGAAUGAAUUUCUACAAGAUUAGGGUUUGCUGAAAUGGCAGAGAGGAAAGAGGCCUGAGGUUUGUAGUAUUGAGCUCGGUUAUCUCAUCUAUUUAAUGAAAAUGAUAACAGUAGCCACCACGUGAGGUCGCCAUGCGGGUUAAUUAAGUUGAUGUGCACAAAGCUCUUGGAAGGGUGCCUGCCUCACAGUAGAUGGGAAAAAAGUGGUGGUACCAAACCUACUUCCUGCUGAUUUAGGUAUUAUUUCAUACAGAUGUGUAGCUUUUGGCGAACAAACCUUUUUGCUUCUGGGAAAGCAUUUAUCCUGUACAAAAGCUGCAGUGGUGGUCUAUUUUAUGUGACCCACACGCACACACUAGGCAGUGAAGGGUGAUAUGUCAAUGGGAGGAGCUCAAGGAUCCUCUGACCCAACUGACACACUAAAUAUAAAUGGACCUGAAUAUGUCUGCAGCAGCUACGUUCACUCAAAUAUAUAUACAUUUCCUUUCGGUUUUCUUCCACUUACAGUUUAGGAGUAGCCAAACAGGUAGGUGGCUCUGUUAUCGCUUCGGUUUUUAUUUCCUUUGUUUGUUUUUUUAUUCUUUAAUCCACCAAGAAUUUAUGUGAGCCAAAUUUAUAUUAUCUUUGUCAACAAUUAACCAUAUGUCUAUGAAUUAAAAACACUUUCUUUAUUAAAACAAAGCCCAUUUUAUUCAACAUAAGUAGAUUAAAGUACAGAUUUGCCUAAAUAGCAUUCUUUGUAACUCUCAAUUAAUAAUUUCCUCUUAAAGGAUUAAACAGCUUAGAGUUACUAAGUAUACAUUGCUUUUCUUUUGUGCAGGGUACAUCAGAGGUGAACUUCAGUAACACACAACAGUCACAGAACUACAUCAACAGCACCACAGCUACAGGCAUACGUUCUACAUAGAUUUUUCUUCUUGCAAGUAAACCAGAUUGCAAUAUUAAAUGACCAAAAAAUUUAAAUCCUCUAAGCACAAAAAUGUUAGUAAGUAUGAAUUCAAGUAGCGAAUGUUUGAAACAUAAAUUUUAUGUAAGCGGAAUGAAAUAUUAUAAAAGUGUUUCUAUAUGAACCUCGGAAUGAGAACAAUUCUAGAAAAUGUGCGUGUGGAUUAUGCACUCCGGAACACGGAUAUUCUUGAAAACAAUUUGACAGCAUACUAAAAUAUUUUUACUCAGUCAGGGAACAUGAUGGAAGAGGAGACCAAACAAAUAUAAGAGCCAGAAGGAAGAUAAAGAGGAGGGCUGCCUCAGGCUAUCUCUAAGUACCACAUAGCCUUCACAGUCCUGAAUUCACAUCAGCCACGCCCAGUGCACUGGGCUGUUAACAGGAAAUCAUGGGUCCCAGGGGACUGUAGCUCUCCUUCAUGAACUAUUGACUACUGAUGAAUUCUGGAGGAGGGACAGUUAUUGCGUUCACUUGUGUCCCCAGAAGUGAGCCCACCAGGUGAAUGUGUGAGCUACCAACCCACAUUCACACAGAUGUCCCUGGUUAUGCUCAGGUGGUGACAAGACAGAACAAAAAAGCAAGCAUUGAGUGUAGAAAGGGACCUGUCCGGGAAAACAGGAAUGGGAGGAAGAUAAGGGAGGGAAAAGUGGGAGGCACCACAGCACAUUAUAAACAUAUUUGAAAUUGCCAAAGAAUAAACUUAAUUAGAGUUAUCAAAGUAUGAGUACGCCUUUAGCUUUUUAAAUUUUUAUUUAAUUUUUUCAUACACUAUAUAUUGAUAUUUUUCCCUUCCCUAACUCCUUCCAGAUCCUCCCCACCUCACUACCCACCCAACUUCAUGUUCUUUCUGUCUUUCUGGUCAUUUUUAAUUCUAGCCAUCUAAGAACUAGUGAUUAAGGAGAGCAAGAUUUUACAUUCACUGUUGUUUAAUUAAAAAUUAAAUAGCCUAAGUGCCCCCAAAAGGGGGAUAGUUAAGUAAGUUAUGCUCCUUCCUGUGGUAAAACUAUACUGAUAUUAAAGUUGUAUUUUCAGAGAAUACUAAGAGACUUAAGGAAGUGCAAUGAUACUUUAUCAAUGUUUAAAACCUGGAGACUCACCUUAAGUAGCUGGUCUCCAGGUGUGGCAGGAGAGAGUAGGGUGUGCAGUUGGGGUGGGUUUAUUGAAGAAGCCUGGUUAAAACAAAACCAAAGCUGUUGGCAGAGGUUUUCUAAUAAACUAAUAGCAAGAC